rnacentral:rRNA from 1 species
GAUGAACGCUGACAGAAUGCUUAACACAUGCAAGUCUUUGGCGAAGCUGUGCUUGCACAGCCUAGCCAAGGCGGACGGGUGAGUAACGCGUAAGGAACUUGCCCUGCAGUCAGGGAUAACAGACGGAAACGACUGAUAAGACCUGGUAAAGUCAGGCGGACUCAUGUCCAGCCUGAUGAAAAGAGAUGCUGCAGGAGAGCCUUGCGUCCUAUUAGCUUGUUGGUGGGGUAACGGCCCACCAAGGCGAUGAUAGGUAGCCGGCCUGAGAGGGUGGACGGCCACAAGGGGACUGAGAUACGGCCCUUACUCCUACGGGAGGCAGCAGUGGGGAAUAUUGGACAAUGGGGGCAACCCUGAUCCAGCAAUUCUGUGUGCACGAUGAAGGUUUUCGGAUUGUAAAGUGCUUUCAGCAGGGAAGAAAAAAAUGACGGUACCUGAAGAAGAAGCGACGGCUAAAUACGUG